GUUUACUUUACUGGCACUAUAGGAUCCCCUUAAUUCAGAAAAAACGUGCCUGUGAAAACCCUAGAUAAAUAAAGCAUUCAGGAAACGUACAGUACAACUUCAAAUCCAAUAUUAUAAGCUGGCCCAGACUGACACUAGGGAAAACAAACAUCAUGGAGGCACAUUAGUUAACUGGAUGGGGCUCCAAGGAACACCAAGCACCUAAACCACUCUGUAAAGAUCAUG